AGGGGUCCCCGCUGGCGAGGAGAUGCAAGGCGGCACUUCGCAGCCGGGGAAGGCGCGGGCAGCUAUCCCGGGAGCCCUCCCCUCCUUCCUCCCCACUCUGUGUUUUCCCUUCUCCUCUUGGCCCUCAGCCCAGCACCUCACACCCUCAGUUUGCAAGCCCUGGUAAGAUUGCUUAAUUCUGUUUUGUUUUGUGGAUUUGUUUUGAGUUUAUUUUUGGUGGAAGUGUAGUUGUGUUUUAUGUUCAGGUAUCUCUUGAUCACAGUACCCCAUAGGAGUCCCCCCACCCCCGCCCAUGGGAGACAGCGGGGGAAGACUUUGGGAGGAUUUUUCCCAGAAUGCUUGCCGCCUGCUUUUUGUCCUCCAGGAAACCAGAAGCCCUGGUGAUUAGGACAAAGCCAAAGGCCCCUUGUUAGCUGGCCACCCUUGUCCCCCUUUUCCCCCUGGUUGUUUCCCCGUGGCCACAGGGAAGUGUGGUCCCCUGAAUUCCCUACCCAGGCUCCUCUGCUCCUCUGCGCCCAAAGACAGGGACCACCUCAGAAGUGUCAUCUCUCUCUGAGCACGCAUUCCCCUGCAGCAAGCGAGCAAGCGGGCGGGCAGCAAGGACUGAGCAAAUUGAGUGAUCCCAGGCCAGAGAGGCCUGGGAGGAAAGGUGUUCAGCCAGUCGGUUGUAAGGCGCUCGUCGGCACCUGCUGAAACGCUCCCACCUGACAGCCCCCUCCUCAAAGACUGUCUAAUUACACAUGGCAGGUUCUAGAGACUCAAGGGGGAGAGCUGCUUUCAAGGCCACCAUGCGUCUGUGCUCCCGGCCCAACCUUAUUUGCCUUGUGUUCAUUUUGUUCUUUUGUGACUGCAAAGACCAAUAAAGUAACAUGUUUGAGGACAAAAGGCUUGGGGUGCCCACCCGUGUGGGGGUGCUGCAAGAAGCCUUUGCUAGGGUGUCUGUUGUGCUGUGUGGUUUGUUUUGUUUGCUCCUUUAUUAUUUUGUUUUGCUUGCCCAGUCUUCCCUUACCCUUGGACCCUUCUUACCCUUCAGGGCAAAC